GCCCCCGUUGUCUAAUGGUUAUGACGUCAGACUUCUAUCUUACGUAAUACAGAUUACGUAACGAAUCUGGAGGUUGCGGGUUCGAAUCCCGCCGGGGGUU
rfam:Lentinula edodes NBRC 111202 DNA, contig: scaffold215.